rnacentral:rRNA from 1 species
UACGUAGGUGGCAAGCGUUGUCCGGAAUUAUUGGGCGUAAAGCGCGCGUAGGCGGUUACUUAAGUCGGAUGUGAAAGCCCCUCGGCUUAACUGAGGAAGUGCACCCGAAACUGAGUAGCUAGAGUACGAAGGAGGGUCGCGGAAUUCCCGGUGUAGAGGUGAAAUUCGUAGAUAUCGGGAGGAACACCGGUGGCGAAGGCGGCGACCUGGGUCGAGACUGACGCUGAGGCGCGAAAGCGUGGGGAG